CUUCACUGCAAACUUUCCUAUCGAUUCACCGGCAAUUUGCAGGAAGUUGGCUGCCGCAUGUUCCCCAACCCCUGGGAGUCGGAGCAGGAGGAAAAGCAGCUGGGAAACCUGCUGGGAACUACGGAAUCGGUGGUUUUCUGUACGGUGCUCAGCCCCUCGGAAUAGGGACUGAUGGGGAAUCUGCAAAAUAUGGAAAUAGUGGCUCCCCAUAUGGAGCUCAACCGCUCCCUUCUGGUGGGAAAAGUGCGGAAAAAUAUGGUGGGUUUUUUCAGUCUUCAUUUUACUGUCAUUUCUAG
rnacentral:lncRNA from 1 species